CUCCCCCCCUCUCCCUCCUGUCUGCCAACCGCUUUUUCCCUCUGAUCUUUGCGAGCGUAGUUCGUCUCCGCCAUCUUGCACGUGUGAAAGCUAAAUAGUGGAAAAUUGUCCCCAUUAGAGAUGAGUCUGUUUACAUCAAGCUGAUUAGGUUUUAGGACUUGGUUUGUCUAAACAUCCAAACACCAUUCUCUCCUGAUGCAAUACAACACAAGCUUGGCUUACAUGUAGUUGCAGAACCAGUAAGGAAAGCAGACUUUUAGUGAAGAAGAGGGAUCUGUAACACUGGGAAGAUAAUAGAAGAGGGAUUGGGACUUAUGUGAAGACCCCUAACAAUUUCUGGAGAUUCAAAUUAAGCAUCGUAUCUUAACGAUCACUGAGCUGGACUAUCAGAGCAGUAUGGCGGAUACAAACUAGGACAAAGCAAGAAGAGGAUGAACGCAUUUACCGUCAUUCAAGAUUGAUGAUUUUAUCGCAGUCCAGGACCCAGGUAAACACUUGUUCUUAUGCAUUGAUCGAUCCGAAACGUAACCUGACUCAGUUGCUCUGUUAUCCUCCUGAAAUUAGAUUUGAGAGAACUCUUGUCAACUGGCACAGCUUUAUAAGUUCCAUACUAUUUUAGAUUUAUCCACAUUGGAAGGAAGUGUAUUGGGUCUGUGUAAUUAUCUUUAAAAGUUUCACUGUGAUUUCCUUCGUUUCGACAUGCUCCGAAUAAAAUAUAGUAGCCAAACGCUCACAUGAAAGCAAAAACAAAGGUGUGGCUGACUAGGGCCCUUUAAGUAGAAUUUUCUGUCGUUCGCGGCAUUUUUGGGGGAGGGUGGCGUAGAUAACUAUAAUAAUUUUUCAGAGGAUUAUAUGCGAUUGAAUAUCGUUUUCGUUCACUUUUCUUAUGAUAACCCAACUCAGGAGAAAAUGCGUGAAAAGCCAUUCAAAAUACAGAAACAAUCUCCUUGUUUUUUCGAGUUAUAGGAAUGCGAGGCCCAGGCGAAUGUUUCCACAUCUUUUUCGUGUUCGUCAAACUUUCACAAGUGUUUCUGUAAUUUGACAGAAACAUGGAGAAAGUGUUCUAUAUUUCGUUGCAAAAAUGUUGCGAGAGUAAGAGAGGAAAAUUAUUCGUUUGUUUCGGUUAAUCAAAAUGUAAAUUUUCUUUGCUCGUGCCUUCAUUGUUCUAUAGGACCUUCGUCACUUGUGGUCACGUGACAAACCAAACGCGAUUGCCGUUUGAGAAUGUUAUAAACGUUUUGAAAUAAUUUAAGAACUAUGGCUCCUACUGUGAACACAAUAAGAAUAAUAAUCGUCCAACGUGGAUAUUUUGGUAACCUUGCUUAGCUGCUGUCAAAUAAUUAUAAAUUUAAUCCGGUGGAAUUAUUCAUACCUUCAUCUCAAUGCUGAUUUACCGCCCUGACUGAGUUGACUUGUAGUCAGUCCGAGAAAUUACUAGUCAACCGCGGACAGUCCCUGUUUGUUUGUUUAUUUUUAUGAUUUUUUUGAAAGGGGCACAAACAGUAAACAAGCGCGUCCAUUGAAAAAUAAACAAAUAGAUAGAAAUAUAAAAAGGAAAGAAAAAGGAAAAAAAAUAAAGAUCCGAGCUGAAGUUGAGCCCAUGACCGUCUUGAAUUCCGGAUUGAAACGCGACAGUGAUCUCCA